rnacentral:lncRNA from 1 species
CGAGAUGGAAAGUUCUUGAUCAGAGGAUGCCUUGGGCCAUGAGCGCUGGGGGAGAAGAUCUUUCCUGAUCACUUGGGGCGAGAAUGAUAACCAUUCUGGCCAGAAAGAGGAGUAUCCUUUGAGAUCACUGCCGGCCAUGGCGCAAAAUAGAGUAGUGCAUGGAUUUGUCAGACUCUCGCCUUCUCGAAUGUUAUUGUUGCGAUCACUGCCACCAUGAUCAUCAACUUACUCAUUUUCUCUUCCAUUUCACUCCUAGAAAUGAACAUUGGCAGUUGCCGCGAGAGAGAGAGAG